rnacentral:rRNA from 1 species
GGACUACAGGGGUAUCUAAUCCUGUUUGCUCCCCACGCUGUCGCGCCUGAGCGUCAGUAACGGGCCAGUGAGCCGCCUUCGCCACCGGUGUUCUUCCGAAUAUCUACGAAUUUCACCUCUACACUCGGAAUUCCACUCACCUCUCCCGUACUCAAGCUUCACAGUCUCAAAGGCAGUUCCAGAGUUGAGCUCUGGGCUUUCACCCCUGACUUGAAAAGCCGCCUGCGCGCGCUUUACGCCCAGUAAUUCCGAACAACGCUAGCCCCCUUCGUAUUACCGCGGCUGCUGGCAC